rnacentral:rRNA from 1 species
CAUUCACGGAGAGUUUGAUCCUGGCUCAGGACGAACGCUGGCGGCGUGCUUAACACAUGCAAGUCGAACGAUGAACCACUUCGGUGGGGAUUAGUGGCGAACGGGUGAGUAACACGUGGGCAAUCUGCCCUGCACUCUGGGACAAGCCCUGGAAACGGGGUCUAAUACCGGAUACUGACCCGCUUGGGCAUCCAAGCGGCUCGAAAGCUCCGGCGGUGCAGGAUGAGCCCGCGGCCUAUCAGCUUGUUGGUGAGGUAAUGGCUCACCAAGGCGACGACGGGUAGCCGGCCUGAGAGGGCGACCGGCCACACUGGGACUGAGACACGGCCCAGACUCCUACGGGAGGCAG